ensembl:lincRNA
GCAUCAUCUAAGAUCAGAUUUAAAAGAAAAAAAAUUCUAGAAUCAAGAAGCACUGCUGGAUGCCCUCAUCUGGCUGCAGGGUGCUCUGCAAAAUGUAUGUUCAAUGUACACUCUGCAAAAUGUAUGCUCAAUGUCUGCUUUUUGAAGCUUCAGUAACACAACAAAUGUGCUCCUGCUUCCCAGAUGGAAGAGCCUCAGCUGGGCAUGGAACAGACCUUACCUUGAAAAAAAAAAAAAAAAACAACAUCCUGCAGUAUCUAUCUCAUCCAGCUUAAACUUCCUAGAUGAUGAGCUCCUGAAUUUUCAAGGCAAACAUGGCACCUGAGUUUGGCAAAGUCACCAAUGGUAGCCAUGGGUUAGUGUUGAGAGGAACUUGAUUUCCCAUGGCUGAUCCUGGGCUAUCUCAGUCUCACGUGGCUGGCCUUUGAGGAACUGACUAAAGCAGAUGUGAGCAAGAUGACAGAGAGCAAGAUGACAGAACCUUCAGAUACUGGAGGUUUGCAGGCCUGUAUUUACCUAACUGAUAAGCACCUACCACCCCAUCUACCACCUCAGAACUCCAUUAUAGGCAACCAACCAUCUCAGAACUCAGUGGUGUUAGCCAACAACCACUGAGCUGUGAUCAUGGUUUCAGGGGUAGGGUGGAGGUGAGGAAGUCAGAAGAGGUGUCCCAAGAAAGCAUCCUCUUCACUCUGUCUGACUGAACCCCAUCUACUAUGGUUGCAUUGAGGGCUGAACUGACUGGUUGUGGGUGGGGAUCACUCCCAUAGCCAUGGCUGGAACUAGGAGGUGGAGGUGAAGCCAUGUCUGAACUGUGAAGCAGAAUGAACAGCUGUGCGUGGUAUCUCUAACAUGGUUAGAUGCCCAGACUUCUUCCCCAAUGUCUCAGUUCCCAGGAGCAAAUGAAUGCAGUGGACACUUCUUCCUUAGUUAUCAGAGCAUCACCACCUGGACUACACUAGCUGAAGCUGUCACAACUUUAGCAGGAUUAGAAGGAAGUAGAUAAACCUUUUCUUUCCAUGAGGUGCAUCAAAGAAUCUACAGUCAUGUUCAAUAUGGGGUUUCAAUAUCCCAUCAUUUUCAAUAUCUUGAUAAAAAUUAAACUAAUAAGUGAACAUAUGUCAAAGGAGAAAAGAGUUAAGUGCAGAGGGCCAACCAAUCAUUUACUGCCUUUUAACAGUAUGAGGGAUUAAGCUUCGAUCAGGCUAAGCAAGAACUUUACCACUGAACUGGAUCUCAGCUUUCCUUAGACCACACCUUUUUUUUUUUUUUUUUAAUUUUGAAGGUUAUUUCCAACUUUUCAAAGUUCCUCUUCAUUUACCCUUGUCUCUUUUAGUCCUUCUUCAUAUGUUCUUUGUUUAAAGAUAUGCAGAAUUCUUCCUUUUCUUUUAGGAAUACUUGGGACUUUCCUAUAGACCUCACUGCAGCUACAGCUAUUGCAACUUGGGUCUUUAGAGGCAGGAGAGUGAUGUUGCUGAGUCCUGAAGAAACAGCCACUUCCAAGCAAUAUUCAACAUCAAACCAACUGUUAUCAUUGGUGCAAGCCAAGUCUGUGUCCUCUCACACAAUUCCACCAUUGAAGGAUACUUCCUAUUCCCUCAUUCUCUUCAGAUCGUCAGGUCCAAAUUCACCCAUGGCCUCUGCACCAUUUACAAAAAUAUAUCUACUCAACAGAGUGGAAUGAAGAUGGCUUCUGCCAACACCUGGUGUCCUGGAGUAUGUGCUGAGACACUACAGGAAGAAGUGGAUGAUAGAAAUAUCUCACUGUGUAAGGGGAACAAAUUCCCUUAGGGAACCAAAUUCUCUUCUUUUGUUAUAGAGGACACAGAAAUGGUAGGGACUGUUGCAAACUGUUAAAAGACAGUUCCUAUCAGUGUGGCCUUCCUGACUUUUUUACCUUUAUUUGUAAGAACCGAUAGAAAACCGGACUGGAUUCUACAAAGUUCCCCUGACCUUAAAGAUCUGUGUGUUAACUGAUUUACCCGAGUCUGAAUCUCAAUUCACUUUAAAAUAAAUCCACAAAUGUGC